rnacentral:rRNA from 1 species
UACAGAGGUCCCAAGCGUUGUUCGGAUUCACUGGGCGUAAAGGGUGCGCAGGUGGUCGGGUAAGUCUGACGUGAAAUCCCGCAGCUUAACUGCGGAAUGGCAUUGGAUACUAUUCGGCUAGAGGGUUGGAGGGGGGACUGGAAUUCUCGGUGUAGCAGUGAAAUGCGUAGAUAUCGAGAGGAACACCAGUGGCGAAGGCGAGUCCCUGGGACGGUACUGACGCUGAGACGCGAAAGCGUGGGGAGCAAACAGG